UUUCUUUAACGCUACGACAGGNCUAACACAUGCANGUCGAGGGGUAACAGGGGAGCUUGCUCCCGCUGACGACCGGCGCACGGGUGCGUAACGCGUAUGCAACCUACCUUUUACAUUGGGAUAGCCCUAAGAAAUUGGGAUUAACACCAAAUAACCUUGUAAAGUCACAUGAUUUUACAAUUAAAACUCCGGUGGUAAGAGAUGGGCAUGCGUGACAUUAGAUAGUUGGUGAGGUAACGGCUCACCAAGUCCACGAUGUCUAGGGGUUCUGAGAGGAAGGUCCCCCACACCGGUACUGAGACACGGACCAGACUCCUACGGGAGGCAGCAGUGAGGAAUAUUGGGCAAUGGAGGCAACUCUGACCCANCCAUGUCGCGUGCAGGAAGACAGUUCUAUGAAUUGUAAACUGCUUUUAUACGGGAANAAACCAGGGACGUGUCCCUGUCUGCCUGUACCGUACAAAUAANCAUCGGCUACUCCNNCCACCACCNCGGUAAUCCGANGAUNCAACCUUAUCCGAUUCUUUGGUUUAAAGGUNCUAGCCGAAUAUAAUCANGGGU
rnacentral:rRNA from 1 species